UACGUAGGGGGCAAGCGUUGUCCGGAAUCAUUGGGCGUAAAGCGCGUGUAGGCGGUUCGGUAAGUCCGCUGUGAAAGUCGGGGGCUCAACCCUCGGAUGCCGGUGGAUACUGUCGAGCUUGAGUACGGAAGAGGCGAGUGGAAUUCCUGGUGUAGCGGUGAAAUGCGCAGAUAUCAGGAGGAACAUCCGUGGCGAAGGCGGCUCUCUGGUACGGUACUGACGCUGAGACGCGAAAGCGUGGGGAGCAAACAGG
rnacentral:rRNA from 1 species